UGCCAGCAGCCGCGGUAAUACUGAAGGUGCAAGCGUUAAUCGGAAUCACUGGGCGUAAAGCGCUCGUAGGUGGCUUUGUAAGUCAGAUGUGAAGGCCCACGGCUCAACCGUGGAAUUGCAUUUGAUACUGCAUCACUAGAGUCUUGUAGAGGGGGGUAGAAUUUCAGGUGUAGCGGUGAAAUGCGUAGAGAUCUGAAGGAAUACCAGUGGCGAAGGCGGCCCCCUGGACAAAGACUGACGCUCAGAUGCGAAAGCGUGGGGAGCAAACAGGAUUAGAUA
rnacentral:rRNA from 1 species